CAGGCGGAAGCAAUGAGGCCGUUGCGCGAGGCUGAAUGCCGCCGGCGCCGGCGCUGGAGCCUCCCCCAUUUUAGUUUCUUGGCUGGGGGCAGGCUCGUGAGCGGUGGCUAGCUAGCUGCUCUCCGGCGAGGCGAGGCGAGCGAGCUCACUUUGUAGGCGCAGGCGGAGCUGAGCUGAGCUCGUCGUCGUCGCGACGUCGCCUUUUGUGGUUGGCUCGCUGGCUGGUCGUGUUUACUCUCCAUCGCUCUCGU
rnacentral:lncRNA from 1 species